CUUAGGACGAACGCUGGCGGCGUGCCUAACACAUGCAAGUCGAGCGAGGAGAUCCUUCGGGAUGAUCCUAGCGGCGGACGGGUGAGUAACACGUGGGCAACCUGCCUCAUAGAGAGGAAUAGCCUUCCGAAAGGGAGAUUAAUACCUCAUAACAUUGCAGUUUCGCAUGGAACAGCAAUUAAAGGAGCAAUCCGCUAUGAGAUGGGCCCGCGGCGCAUUAGCUAGUUGGUGAGGUAACGGCUCACCAAGGCGACGAUGCGUAGCCGACCUGAGAGGGUGAUCGGCCACAUUGGGACUGAGACACGGCCCAGACUCCUACGGGAGGCAGCAGUGGGGAAUAUUGCACAAUGGGGGAAACCCUGAUGCAAGCAACGCCGCGUGAGUGAUGACGGCCUUCGGGUUGUAAAGCUCUGUCUUCAGGGACGAUAAUGACGGUACCUGAGGAGGAAGCCACGGCUAACUACGUGCCAGCCGCUGC
rnacentral:rRNA from 1 species